UACGUAGGAGGCAAGCGUUGUCCGGAUUUAUUGGGCGUAAAGGGCGCGUAGGCGGCUCUGCACGUUCGUUGUGAAAUCGCCCGGCUCAACUGGGCGGGGUCAGCGGAUACGGCAGAGCUUGAGCAAGCUAGGGGGCAAUGGAAUUCCCGGUGUAGUGGUGGAAUGCGUAGAUAUCGGGAGGAACACCAGUGGCGAAGGCGGUUGCCUGGGGCUUUGCUGACGCUGAUGCGCGAAAGCGUGGGGAGCGAUCCGG
rnacentral:rRNA from 1 species